UUUAAUUGCUAAAAUAAAUAUGUAAGUGUAGAUGUAAUCGUAUUUCUUCUCAAUCAAUCUUUGAAAAAGAACACUAUCAUGAAAGAUGCAAAUUUCAGUUAAAUAUGUGACUGCUUUGAGCCCUAAUAGGAAACCAAAUAAACAACUAUAUUGAACAAUUCAAACUGCAGAAUAAUGUUGAAGACUGUACAUAUUUGUGUAAAAACAUUCAAAUUUAUUUUAUUGUCCAUUUUGGCAAUGAGUAUUGAUGAUGUCUUCAGCUGUGCAUUAUAUUUUGUCAACCUAAAACUUCCAUGAAAUGUAAAAUGCUAUAAUAUUAGUUCUCUAAAAUUUUUCAUUGUGAAUAUAUUUACGGUAUGACUCUGUAUUUUUAUUUUUAAAAUAGGUAUCCCUACAUCAUCACGCUUAUGUCUUAAAUAAAAGACAAGAUGUCAACUAUCAUGAAUUUUAUGACACCAUAGCAGAUGUUCAUAGUACCGCCCCGUUAGAGAAGGCAGGCCUGUUUGAAUGUGUAGAUAAAGCACCCAUUAUUACUUCCAGCUACCAAGGAGUAAUGCUUCUGGGUACAGUCACUGAUCCUAAAGCUUUCUACAAGAACCAAUUGAUCAGGAGUAAAAAGAAGAUUAAAGACAUAAAGUACUAUCUUUGAGGACCACAGCCCCUACUUUGGUCUUGUUUGCACUGAACUAUUAGGGCUGAACUAUCGCUGUUUAAGGACACAGGCCGCAUCUUUAAGAUUUUUUUUCUGACAGCCACCAUGCAAAGAUGACUGAUUGCUAUUGUUCUCAACAUGCUGACGGUAAUGCGCAUGAAAGGCCUGAGUACGAGUGCAACCCUGUUUUUGAUUGUCGAAUAAGGUCUAUUGUGGUCAACAUGUUUAAACAGCAUUAUAGGGACCAUAUGGUUUUUCUUCUGGAGAAGAUCAUUAAUGAUGUGUGUGAUUCUAAAUAUGAUUGUACAGGAGAUGGCAAACGUGUGAAAAAUCUCAAGAGAGAAUUGGACGUUGUGAGAGGGGCCUUAAACUCAUGGGCCGAUAUGAUAAAUCAAUUGAAACACCUAUGUUUUCGUAGCAAUGGUGCUGUCUGUGCAACCAAUACAAAAAUUCUGGAGGUGCUGACUGAAUUGAGUGAUGAGAUGGGGGUAACGCAGGUUCUAUGUAUGUCUACAUAUAUAACAGAUAUUUGUGUGUCACUGGUUUCACAAAACAAAAUAAAUAUUGCUGAGAUUGUGGAAGUUAUGACCAGCCACAUACUAGAACAUGACAGAAUGCUUUUAGCAGCAUUUCUUUGUUGUUUGGUAAUAUUCAGUAAUGUCUUUAUUGUUCUGGUGUACCCUGUUUUUUCUUCAAUGUAUGACUGUAUAUAUGUAUUUUUUUUUCUUAUUUAAUUUGUCUUUAUUAUGUUAAUGCAAUCCAUGUUUGUUCAUUAUGUAAUACUCUAUGUCAGUGUUUAUUUACUUGAAAUAAAAGUUUAUCAACU